rnacentral:tRNA from 1 species
GAGGGUGUAGCUCAGAUGGUAGAGCGCGCGCUUAGCAUGCGCGAGGUACCGGGAUCGAUACCCGGCACCUCCA